rnacentral:rRNA from 1 species
CGGAGGAUCCAAGCGUUGUCCGGAUUUAUUGGGGUUUUAAAAGGGUGCGUAGGCGGACUUAUAAGUCAGAGGUGAAAGCCGGUAGCUUAACUAUCGAAUUGCCUUUUGAAACUGCAAGUCUUGAAUUUUGUUGAGGUAGGCGGAAUGUAUCAUGUAGCGGUGAAAUGCAUAGAUAUGAUACAGAACACCGAUUGCGAAGGCAGCUUACUAAGCAAAUAUUGACGCUGAGGCACGAAAGCGUGGGGAUCAAACAGGAUU